rnacentral:lncRNA from 1 species
CAUCUUAUGUAUGACAUUCACUCAAGUCUAAGAGUAGCAGGGAAAUUUGCCCAAAAUAUGUCAGGCAUAUUAAUAAGCUUUGUUGGCCAGCAAGCUCGCUCAGCGGGUAAAGACACUGGCUGCCAAACCUAACAGCCUGUGUUCAAUCCCCAGAAGCCACAUAGUGGAGAGUCAGAACCACCUCCUCAAGUUGUCCUCUGACCUCCACAGGCAAGUCAUGGCAUACGCACAUACUCCCAUAAAUAAACAGGGUCUUUCACUGACACUGGAGCUCACCAAUUCAGCUAGACUGACUGGCCACUGAGCCUCAGGAAUCCUCUUGUCUCCACCUUCCCCGAGCUGGGAUUACAGAUAUGUACUGCUAUAUUCAGAAUUUUUCUACAGGGGUGCUGAGGAUUUAACUCAGUUACUGGUGCUUGCACAUGGAGAAUUUUAUCAUCUGAGCCACCUCUCUAGUGUAGUAUCUAACUUGUUCUUAAUUCUAAAACAUGUUAUAUGUAUAAAUGGUUGCCUGCAAGUAUGUAUGUGCUCCAGGCGCCUUCCUGGUACCAAAAGAUACAAGAAAAGGGUGUUGGAACCCACUGGGACUAGAGUUAUAGAUGGUUAUGGGCCACUAUGUGGGUACUGGGAAUUGAACCCAGGUCUUUUGCACUAACAGAAAGUACUCCUAACCACUAAGCCAUCUGUCCAGCCCCAAGACCUAAUUUUUAAACCUGUUUUCCAAGGUUUUCUAGAAUCUGGCCUCCAUCUACUUCACUUACUUUUCUCUACCUUCAGUAUCAUAAAUUUCUAUUUACCACCUCCAGUGGAUGACUUUUCUAAAUAAAUACAAAGCUUCCCCUUCACUCUGUAACUUUGUUCCCUCUAUCCCUCUUUUGUGCUGGGAUUAAAGGCAUGGGACACCACUGCCCGGCCUCUCUAUCCCUCUUAUGUUAAGUUCUUCUCUAAUUUCUAAAUGUCUAAAAUAUGUACUUUCUCAAAUCUACACUGUCUGCUACACUUGUCCCAUGAGGAAAAAGGACUUCUUGGAGGAUGCUGAAGGCUGUCAGUUCUCCCAACUGAGCUUUCUAAAGUGUUUGGCUGUGUAACAAAUCACUGCUUGGAGAAGUUAGAAUCUUGGUCAGUACGAUGAUCUUUCAACUAGCAGUUUGAGGGAAAAUGAACAGUCAAUAUAAAAUUUGGUUGAAUGGAAAAUUGAAUUUUUUCCCUCAGAAAUCAAGGAAGGCUCAAUGUAGAAGCUUUUUAUUCUCAUCUUUCUCCUUUCAUCCUUUACUGCGGUUCAUGAAAAUGUAAGAUUAAGAGAAACUCUGGUCUCUGAAAACAACCAUUGUCUUGUUUUAUCACCCAGGCUUCCUUCCUCCCAAGAUCCACCUCCUUGUGGCCUACUUUACCAGCAGAUGUCAUAAGCUCAGGAGGGAGAGAUAUAAUUUUGAUAUUAACUUGAAUUAAGAAAAAAGAAAUGUAAUUAAAAAGUGGAUCUUCUGUCUUAAAAAGCAAACUUUUUAAAAGAUAGCAUAUUCUGCAAACAAAGCCCUUCCUGUGUUUUCUGUUGCAGGGUAUCUGUGCUACCAUGCCCAUCUCUGGGCAGAUGGAGAAGUGAGAAUUGAUGCAAUAAAGCCUUGCUUUGUUUGCUCACAAAGCACGAUGCUUUCUUUCCAUUCUGCUUACUUGCUCAGCACUGGUCCUGAGAAUGGGGACAGAGAAGAUAAGCCAAGGUUCACCCAAGCCAAGGAUAGAUAUAGUGGGAACAGAGUGUCAAGAAUUCUCUCCGUUCAGUGACAGCAUAUAGGGGAAGACUCAGUGGCACUUUUUCCCUGACUCUCUAGUGGCCUCCAGCCCCUACCUGUGCCACUUAGUGACUGCACCACCACAGGCAAAUCUGCCAUUUCUUUCUCAGCUAAGAAAGUCACGUAACACCCACUACAAUAGAAUCAUGCAGACUUAGUAAAUUGUGAAGUGCUGCCCAACUACAAAUUCAAAACUACCUAUUUUUUCCCAUUCCUCUACCUUGGAUUUACAAGCAUCUUUGGAGGCCCAGUAGUCAAUGGUGAUCUUCAAAUGGACAUUGAGGUGCAAGGAGGAAGAUCUGUGAAAACUCUAAGGGACAGAUAAAGAUAACAAAUGCUUUACCAAUGUUCUACACUGCCUUCUCCAUAUGCCACACUGCCACUCAAAACUGAGGGAAAGAAGAAAGAAUACAGCUACAGGUGUCAGAGCCAGCUAAAGUUCUCCUCAGUGACCUCCACCAGCCUGACCCAGGCCGCAGACCCAACUUUAUGUCUGACACAUUUCAUUUCAGUGAGAAAAAAUUGCAAGUGACCUGGAAAGAACAUUCUAGAAAGGGGGGAGAGUGACAGGAUUAUUACUAUCACAGUCUGUCAUUUCUUUCUUCCAAAUAGUCCGACCAUAUGCCCAAGACAUGAUAUUGACUCCUGUGUCCAGGACACAGAAAACUCACUCCCCCAGGCACCAUGUAGACGCCAUCAAUCAUUUAUCUGCAUGAGAAAUAGAGCUGAGGCUGGAAAAAGAAUAUUUGAUUCUGUCAAAAAAAAAAAAGGAGUGAAUAUGAAGUGUCUCGUUUAUCAAAGAGAUUAGUUUUAAAAGUCUGGGGAGUUACAUGUGUAAAUUGUCCAAAAAUUGUAGAAUAAGAUAUGAGGGUAGAUUUGCAUGUAUACCGUCCUCUUCAGGACUCGGCAAACUCCCUGCUGAGAAUAGCAAGGUUCUAUUAACUGAUUAAUUAUUAUUAAUGCCAACUUUUAUUUAGCUAGCAAUUAUAAUCUAUUAAGAGCAUUUCUUCACAUCCUCUUACUUAUUCAGUCCUCGGAACAAUCUGUGAAGCUCGUCAGUAAUAUAUUAUUAUCUCCCUUUUUAGACAAAGGAAAGGGAAACUCUGGGGUUUCCUUGCUUAGGCUAAUGCCGACAGUAAGUGGCAAGUUCUAGACUAGAAAACAGAAUUUCUGAUUGCUGGUCCACUUCCUAGAGCGGCUGUGGAAGAUCCAAAGGAAGAAAGGGAAAGUGGGAAGCAUUGGUUGAGAGUGGAAAGAACCUAGAAAAGCCGGCAGACCAGAAUUCCUCCUAGUUUAGGUCAAAGUGGGAGUAGGUGUGGCUAUAUGACACACAACUCGAAAGAUUUGAUGCACUGUGAGGCACAUCUACCCACUCUCAACUUCCUUAUGCAACUGGACAUUCCACGUUGGCCUCCCACCCACCCUUUUAAAGUCAAGUUUCUUAAGCAGCCUAGUUGGAACCAACUUCAGACUGAUAUCUAUUCCCAAGCCCUCCCUCUCUCAGACCGCAACCUUUUUUCUCUCUUUUGUCGUCUUUUGAGCAACCACACCCCUGACCCUCCUCCCUUCCUUGAUGUUCUUAAUCAAUGCCCCUCUGCACUCCUUCCCCCUUAAACUCUGCUGACAGCUCUCCUUCUGGUCUAUCCAUUUUCCCAGGUCAGGAGCUCUGGGCCUCUUUACCCAUAAGCCCCCUGGUCAUCCUCCCUCUGGCUCUCACCUGUACUCCACAGCCACAGGCACCUCCUGGUCGCCCCUCAGCUGUCUUCCUUCUGUCGGUCUGAGGACUCCAGCCUCCCUCCAGGGCCUACAAGCUGGAGCUGUGCAGUCUCCAGGCUCUUCGUUAUUUCACUUCUUGGUUCACAGCGCUAGUAAAUAACAACAUACAAUAAAAGAUGGUCUCAGCUAUGUUUCUCGACUGCAGCCUCCAGCAGUGUUAUCUCAGGCCCCAACAUUGCAACAAAGAAAUCUCACAGUUGGGUUAGUGAGAACCAGUACAGGACAGGAGCAGAAAACUUCAGCGCUUCCCCAACAGCUCAGCCCCAGCUGCCCUCCAGGGGCUCCCCCUAGUGGGAGAUGCUGAGCAUGGCAGGUCAGGUCUUGAUUUGGGAUCGUGUCUUCGGGUGGGAGGAGGGGAGUGAUGCAAAGGAGAGAGCAACACUGUGUUCUCUGUGAGCGAGCUGCAGCCUCUGUGUGAAUUGCAGGGCGGAGGUCCUCUGAAAUCAAUCAGGGAAAUCCUUUGGAAAGCCAGAGUUCUUGGGAUCUGAAAGUCUCUGAGUUUAGGUGGAAAUGGUCUAAGUAUUAAAUUAGCUUACAGGGCUUAAACUGUAUAAGGGACAAGGUGAUUGGCAAUCAUUUGCUGCUGCUACUGCAGCACGUCCACUUUGAACUGGUAAAAAGGGAUCUCAAAGCCACACUGUCACACACAUGGCUGUUCUGGAGAGACAGGCAUAGUCUCUGAAGUCUGAGAAAAGCAUACUAGUCCAGUCUCCUGGGCUCUCUUGGCCUUUUGGUGUCAUAGGAACCUGGGCUACUUUCUGCCGCCCAGUGUGACGAAUACAGACUGCAUAUCCAAAUAGCAUCUUUCUCCGCAGAGAUGCAAUCUCAUUCAUUCUAACCUACCCAGCAGGCAGAUAGGAAAUAAGAAGCCGAUUAUUCUCUUUUGCAAAGAGGCAAACAAGUGAUGCUUCCAGUUCCACCAGGCAAACCAUCAGAAGAGGGAACAUCGGGACUGGGUUUCCUGACAUCUUCCCUCCCAGGACAUCCAGACAGUGUUCCACCUCUGGAGAUGAGGGGAAUAAAGAUUGAUUUCAACCUCAGGGCAGGGCAGGGUAGUGAGCUGCACCCCUCAGCAACCGAGAUUGGCUCGCCCCACACCCCAGUGUGAGGAGAGUGUGCAGAGCUGAACAUGAUGCAGAGAGAGGGACCCAGUCUGAUGCUGCAGACAAGAGUUCAAUUCAUCAUUAUGUCAAAUUGGGAAAGGAAGCGAUAGGACCAGCGGGAAGCUUUUUAUUUACCAGUAACAGGUAGUAAGGGUAAAUGAAUAAAAAGACCUUACAGGGUGAUGACAGUGAGUUGGUGUUGACUAGGUAACCACAUGCUUUGUGAUACAAUCACCAUCAGACCAGUUGGGAGACCUUAAAUGUGAGAUUAGAAGAGCCCUGUUUCACUGAUAAAGAAACUGAGAUCCGGUUGGUUAAUGGACCAGCUUGUGAUCAAAUCAAAAUCUCUGAAAGCUUAGAACCCAUUUCACAUGCCAUAGUGCUAUAUGGGCUCUUCUAGCUAUCCUGGGUGGGGUGAGAAAUCAAUAUAAAAUACUCCUAUUUACUCAGCAAACCAAAUCACAAGCCAAGUCUCACCCAUCUCUAUUAAAUCCCACUGUCAUUCUGAUGUUGGGAGUAGCACUGCACUGAACCAUGUGGGAAGCUUGAACUUGGUAUAAAAUGGUAAAGUUAUGUUGCUUAAGAACCACACCUACUUUAUGGGCUCUUUCUCCCCUGACAACAUGGACACUAUGGGAAUUAGCUUCCAAAUAGUAACAACAACCCAUGAAAAAGAAGCUUAUGGUGGUGGUGAUGAUGAUGAAGAGGAAAAGUCAGUUAAUGAUAUGGUUAUUGACCACAGAGUCAAUUAUUAUUGCUUAGAUCUGUCCUGAGACCUUGGGUUGAGCACGUGUUCAACGACUCUGACUAUACUUAAGUUCUGUUAUAAAUAAACAUCAAACAAAAAAGAGAGAGAUUUAAAGGUGGGCAUGGUAAUGCAGGCCUAUAAUUACAGAAUGCAGGUGGUGAAGGCAAGAGGAUUAGGGGUUCAAGCCCAACUUCAGCUACAUAGCAAGUUGGAGACUAGCCAAUGCUGCAUAAGACGCUCCACCCAGAAAAGAUGAAAAGUCAAAGAAAGGUAAGAAAGCUGCAAAAGCACAAAUAUUACGGUCUAUUCAAAUGUGUCUUCAGCUAAGAUUUAGUCACACUCUACGAUAGAGUUGGCAUCCAAAUCUAAAAACACUGCUCAAGGUGUAAGUGUCAUGUGUAUUGAGCAUAGAGGGAAUGGCAGAUCAAUGGUAGACAGUCAAGGAAGUAGAUGAGAAAGUGGGGCAACUAUUAUUCCCUUGGAGCUAUUUGGAUCAUCCAUUUCUGCUUUAGACCUCACCAGGCAAAAUGGGGUGGACUGAGGAUUCAGCAACCAGCUUCUCCAAAAGAUGUG